UCAUUGUGACAAUCAAAAAUGCUCCCACACAUUCCCAAAUGCUCACUGAACGAGUGGUGCUGAUGUGGGUUGAGAAUCGCUCAUUUUACACCCUGAGCGAGCAAGACACAAAAGGCCUACUGCUAUCUUGUACAGACAUUUUGCUCAAAGAACUUUGCAGACGAACUUGUUAUCUUACCCUACCACCUGCAUUAAUAAAGCAGAUAUUAUAAAUUAUCAAAAUCUAUGAAGCCUCUCUAUCAGAAACAAUAAUAACCCCAAACUGAUUCUCCCUCCCCUCUUGUGAGAGGGUAAACACCACAUAUAUCCUUCUUAAUCUUUCCUUAAUUUGAGUUGUCCCUAAUCACAUCAUAACUGUUUUUGCAUUAACUUUGAAAUCUUUCGAAAGAGUUACUGAAAUAAUGAUGCUGAGAAGUUACUUUGUACAACUGAAACUGGACCUCAGAAAAGGCUAUCUGGAGGAAUAAGUCAGUAUCCCCCAGGGGGCGCCAUAAUUCCUCCACAAGUCUAUCAGCCCUUCUUUCUGUCUGUGGUUAGGCCAGUGUGCAGUCCAGUUCCACUAUCAGAGGGCUCUUGGCAGAAAGCGAAUCUCCAAUGUGGUCUCCUGGGAACCAGUCAUGUCAGUUCUGGUAGCUCCGUAACUCAUUGACUACAGUGAACUCUCAGUCACCUUUUCGCCAACAUAGCUUCAUUAUGGCCAUAUGUGAUUCAGAGAUGAACUUAGACAGCACUGGCUCCAGCCUAAGAAAAACUUGAUGAAAGCUUGAUUUAUUAUUGCAUGUCAGAGUUCACGGCUGCUAGCUGAGCUCAGCAGAGGCAAACCCAGCAAGAAGCCAGGGGUCAACAUGAGUUUGCCAGCUGCUGACCCUAUGGUUUUCUUGCCAGAUUUGCUGGAGUACCCUUUCAGAUGGGCUACUCCAAGAGCAAAUACGGAAACUUAACAUUUGUAUGAAUGAGAUUUAAGAAGAAAACACUUCCAGGGGAAGGGAAAGAAGGAAGCAAGAUGAGGAAGGGAAGAAAACCAAAUGAACAUAUUCUUAGGCUUCUGCGUCUCCCAGUUCAGUUGGUCCCACAGGAAGCCUGAGUGUAUAUAUCCCACCUUGAGGCAUGUGAGCACACUGAGUCAGUAUUGGUUAAUGGACCAGAGGUGGGCAGGUUCUUAGGUAGUACAUGGAAGUCAGCUUCAUUAGCCCUAUCAGUAGACCUCUAGAAAAAGUUGAAGAUAGCUGAUAAAUAGUAAAUGUUUGAGGGCUGAAUGGAAACUGGAAAUAAAGAUUCUUGGUUUUAGCAUUUACUCAUUUCCAUGAAGUAAACAUUUCUAUCUUGGCUGAUGUCAAGCUGCUGCCUUGGCAUCACUAGACAUGGAAGGGAAGACUUGUGCACAGAAUACCUUUAUUGCAUAAUAUCCCUACUAUACAAAUACAAUAGACUUAUAUAGCAGUGCAAGAUAAUAGUAUGCAGUAAAAUAAAAGAAGAUGGGAAGUUUGGGGAAUUCAUUAACUUUGUUUUAUGUAAUUUAUUUUAUUUUACAUGUAUAUAGUCAGUUCUUAUUCACAGUUGUUUCCUUCUAGGAAGUGCUGGAAACACUGAGUUACAAUGCUUCUAGAAGAAAUAAAAAUUAAAUCUCUAUGUGCUUCUGAUUGUAACAUCUGACAUUUGUCAAGUGAUAUUCCAUCAACUUGUUCUAUUUGUAUUUCUAUUUAAAGACACUUUCUCUGAUAUGUACUACUGAUUCAUUAACAUUGAAUGCACAGUCACAAUACUAUAACUUAGGCAUGAAUGGAGCCUAAGUUCUAAUGUAUGUUUUUCUCCAAAAACACACCAGUAGCUAUUUUUUUGUGCUGUGGAACACUAAGAAGUACAUCAGCACUAUGUUUGAGGUUAUUUUAAGCAGAAAAAUCACCCACAAAAAUGUGAAAAACCUGGCACUAAAUAUAAAACAAAAGAAUAUUUGUUUAAAGUAUGGGAGCUGAAAUGAAAAGGCCUUCUUCAACCUCAGCUAGGAAGACACACCUAGGGCAACUUGAAUUUCUCAUGGCCUCAUACACAACAUGCACACAGAUUGCCACAGUACUGACUUCUACAGUUACAAAUAAAUUUAAUUCAGUAGGCAAAUUGAAAGAUAUGGAAUCUAUGAGCUAACGAGAGUUGCCUAUUUACCUUUAGUUUUAAUAAUAGAUAUGGUUAGCAACCAUUUUUCAGAAUUCUGGAAUGUUGAUGUACUUUCUUGAGAACCUGCAUAAACUAGCUUCAGCACAGCAUGGGCUAAACUAUACCACUCUGAUCACUACCUCUACUGCUGGGUAAACCUACAAAGCAGAAACCAGUUCUUUGUUGGUGUCACUAUUAUAGCCAUUAGUACAAGUGCCUGACUUAUGACAGGUAAUCAGAAACUGGUAAUGGGUGAGUGAAUACAAACAAUUUCCCUCUUUUUUACUGUGGAAAAAUAAUAAGUCCAUACUGGAUGAGCAUGUUUUAUUUAUACUAUACCUUUAUUUGAAGGAUUUUGGUUCCCAUUCAAAGCUUAUGUUUACAAAGUUUGAUGCCCAAAAUUUACAGUUUUACAGACAAGAAAAUAUAGCACCAAACUGGGGUCAA
rnacentral:sRNA from 1 species